rnacentral:rRNA from 1 species
UACAGAGGGCCCGAGCGUUGUUCGGAUUCAUUGGGCGUAAAGGGUGUGUAGGAGGUCUUGUAAGUCGGGCGUGAAAUCUCACCGCUUAACGGUGAAACUGCGUUCGAUACUGCUUGGCUAGAGGAUCGGAGGGGGUAUCGGAAUUCAUGGUGUAGCAGUGAAAUGCGUAGAUAUCAUGAGGAACACCGGUGGCGAAAGCGGAUACCUGGAAGAUUCCUGACUCUGAAACACGAAAGCUAGGGGAGCAAACGGG